rnacentral:rRNA from 1 species
UACGGGGGGUGCGAGCGUUGUCCGGAAUCACUGGGCGUAAAGGGCGCGUAGGUGGUUUGAUAAGGGUGUGGUGAAAGUCCGGGGCUCAACCCCGGAUCUGCCGUGCCGACUGUCAAACUCGAGGACUGUAGAGGCAGACGGAAUUCCGGGUGUAGCGGUGGAAUGCGUAGAGAUCCGGAGGAAGACCGGUGGCGAAGGCGGUCUGCUGGGCAGUUUCUGACGCUGAGGUGCGAGAGCGUGGGGAGCGAACCGG